AUUUCUGUCCAUAGAGAACCUUGCUGAGAAUUUUACAAGACAGACUUCACGAGCAAGACAGCAGUUCUCUGGUUUCCAGCAGAGAUAUUUUGAAGAAUAAGACAAGUUAUUCUUCACUAGCAAGAAAGUUGGGAAGGUUCGUUCGAGGUUGCGUUCGUUCGAGCAAGAGAAGAGAAGAGAACGUUCGUUUGAGGUUGUGUUCGUUCGAGCAAGAGAAGAAAAGAGAAGAGGAGUAAAGAAAUUUAACUUCUCUAUAGGCAUUUCUGGAGAAUUGGAGCUAGCAUACAUUGUACUUUGGUAGAUUCAAGCAGGACCUCCACUGGAUGAGAUGUCUAUAGCAUGCAUUUUGCGCGACUUGCUACAUGCCAUCGAAUACCUCCAUAAUGAAGGAAAGAUUCACAGAGAUAUUGAAGCUGCAAACAUUUUAUUGACAGAGAAUGGAGAUGUUAAGGUUGCUGAUUUUGGUGUUUCUGCACAACUAACAAGGACAAUCUCGAGAAGAAAGACAUUUGUAGGAGCACCAUUCUGGAUGGCUCCAGAAGUAAUUUAAAAUUCAGAUGGAUACAAUGAGAAGGCUGAUAUCUGGUCUUUGGGGAUAACUGCAAUUGAAAUGGCCAAAGGGGAACCUCCACUUGCAGAUCUCCACCCAAUGAGGGUUCUUUUCAUCAUUCCUCGAGAAAACCCCUCUGAGCUGGAUGAACAUUUUUCCCGUCCUAUGAAAGAAUUUGUUUCCCUGUGUUUGAAGAAGGUGCCUUCUGAGAGACCAAGUGCUAAGGAACUUCUAAAGCAUCGUUUUAUCAAGAAUGCUAGAAAAAGCCCCAGGCUAUUGGAAAGAAUAAGGUUUUAUUUGCAGUAAGAAAAGAACACAGGCGUCCCUAUCAAAUGGCUUGCUAAUCCUACAUCUUCACAUGACUAGAAGUUAGAAAACCUUGCUGGGUUUUCAACUCCAAAGUCCAGAUUGGGAAUCCAGGAGAAGUCUUUGAGUGCAUCACUUGAAGAUAGUGCAACAAACCUUGCAGAGGCAAAGGCUGCUAUUCAAGGCAGAUUAAGGAAAUCAAAUGCAUAGGAGAGGCCUGUACUGGGCAAACUCAAUAAAGAUAUGGAAGGUGGUUCUACAAUUUGUACAUGAGAUGCAACAGAAAGCACAGAGGAAUUUUGAUGCCAGCAGAGAUAGAUCUUUGCCAAUGUUUGGUGUUGGAGUUGCUUUUAUUGAUGAAACUGUUAUUUCUUCUAUUCCUUCUCAUGAAUAUGAAAAAGCAAUUCAAGAUAUCAGAUUGAUUGUGUCGAAUUUAGCUCCACCAGAAAAAUAGCUGCAUAUUGUACCCUUUGAGAAUAUCUAUUCUUUAGAUUCCAAGGGUGAAACAAGUAGGCUGAAGGAAUUGUUGCAUGCCAUUGAUGAUGACACUGGGAAAGAAGAUCUUGUGCACCAUUUGCGUAUGAUGUCCUUACAAAAGAUUGCUCUUGACAAUGGCUACAACAAAUUGGUUUUAGGAUCAUGUGCAUCAAGAAUUGCUUGCCAUGUCAUUUCAGCAACUGUAAAGGAAAAGAAAAGAUUGUCUUCAUUGUUUUCUUCUUCAGCCACAGGGAAGAGGAACAGCAUAAGGUGGUAGGUGCACAGGGAGCAUCAGAGUUUUGCUCAGAGGUUGAAGUGUUGAGCUGUGCACAACACAGAAAUUUGGUUAUUCUGGUUGGCUAUUGCAUUGAAAAGGAGUGGCUUCUUGUAUAGGAAUUUGCUUGUAAUGGUUCCUUGCACAAUCACUUGUAUGGUACUUAGCCCUAGAGUACAUGCAGACUGGGUUAAUCACAGAAAAAGCUGAUGUGUACGCAUUUGGAGUUGUGUUACUGGAACUCUUAAGUGGCCUAAAGGCAACUGAUUUGAUGAGAAGUGAAGAAGAACAUUAUCUUUCUGAAUGGAUUUUCGUUGUGAGGUUGGAUUUGUUGUUAAGUCAGUUGAUAAUCUUGUGGAGCCCAAUGAUUUCAUGAAUUUCACAAAAUUUACCAUGACGUAUAUUGAUAGGAGAGGAAAGAUCUCAUAGCCAUGAUGCCUUUGAAGCCAGAUUUGGAGGACAUCAGACCCUUGAAGAAAGAGAGGAAUCCUUAUAUGCAAGAAAUCAAACACUUCACUAUGGCUGUGUCAAAGGACCAGAGGGAUCCCCAAGCACUCGGUUUGUUGCUGCAGUUGUGGGUGAUGGAGUUAAAUCUGAAGAUGUGUUACAUUAUUCAAGAAGAUUUUUUUUAUAUGCCUUGUAUUUUUUUUAUUUGUCAAUUGGAUGUUGU